rnacentral:rRNA from 1 species
AGCAUAUCAAUAAGCGGAGGAAAAGAAACCAACAGGGAUUGCCUCAGUAACGGCGAGUGAAGCGGCAAGAGCUCAAAUUUGAAAGCUGGCCCCUUCGGGGUCCGCGUUGUAAUUUGCAGAGGAUGCUUCGGGUGCAGCCCCCGUCUAAGUGCCCUGGAACGGGCCGUCAUAGAGGGUGAGAAUCCCGUCUGGGACGGGGUGUCUGCGUCCGUGUGAAGCUCCUUCGAAGAGUCGAGUUGUUUGGGAAUGCAGCUCUAAAUGGGUGGUAAAUUUCAUCUAAAGCUAAAUACUGGCCGGAGACCGAUAGCGCACAAGUAGAGUGAUCGAAAGAUGAAAAGCACUUUGAAAAGAGAGUUAAACAGCACGUGAAAUUGUUGAAAGGGAAGCGUUUGCGACCAGACUCGCUCGCGGGGUUCAGCCGGCAUUCGUGCCGGUGUACUUCCCCGUGGGCGGGCCAGCGUCGGUUUGGGCGGCCGGUCAAAGGCCCUCGGAAUGUAUCACCUCUCGGGGUUGUCUUAUAGCCGAGGGUGCAAUGCGGCCUGCCCGGACCGAGGAACGCGCUUCGGCUCGGACGCUGGCGUAAUGGUCGUAAAUGACCCGUCUUGAAACACGGACCAAGGAGUCUAACAUCUACGCGAGUGUUCGGGUGUCAAACCCGUACGCGCAGUGAAAGCGAACGGAGGUGGGAGCCCCCUCGUGGGGCGCACCAUCGACCGAUCCUGAUGUCUUCGGAUGGAUUUGAGUACGAGCGUAGCUGUGGGGACCCGAAAGAUGGUGAACUAUGCCUGAAUAGGGCGAAGCCAGAGGAAACUCUGGUGGAGGCUCGCAGCGGUUCUGACGUGCAAAUCGAUCGUCGAAUUUGGGUAUAGGGGCGAAAAGACUAAUCAAACCUUCUAGUA